AUUGAACGCUGGCGGCAGGCCUAACACAUGCAAGUCGAGCGGAUGAAGGGAGCUUGCUCCUGGAUUCAGCGGCGGACGGGUGAGUAAUGCCUAGGAAUCUGCCUGGUAGUGGGGGAUAACGUCCGGAAACGGGCGCUAAUACCGCAUACGUCCUGAGGGAGAAAGUGGGGGAUCUUCGGACCUCACGCUAUCAGAUGAGCCUAGGUCGGAUUAGAUAGCUGGUUGGGUAAAGGCCUACCAAGGCGGGGAUCCGUAACUGGACUGAGAGGGGGGUCAGUCACACGAGAACUGAGCCACGGACAUGGCUCCUACGGGAGGCCGCAGUGUGGUAUAGUGGGCAGUGGGCGGAAACCUGGUCCAGCGAGCCGGAGCGUGUGGAGAAAAUCUUCGGAUUGUGAAGCAGUUUAAGGUGGGAUAAACGGCAGUAACUUGAUACGAAGCUGUUGUGACGGUACCAGCUAAAGAAGCACCGGCUAACUACGUG
rnacentral:rRNA from 1 species